rnacentral:rRNA from 1 species
AACGAACGCUGGCGGCAGGCUUAACACAUGCAAGUCGAGCGCAUCCUUCGGGGUGAGCGGCGGACGGGUGAGUAACGCGUGGGAACGUGCCCUCUUCUACGGAAUAGCCUCGGGAAACUGAGAGUAAUGCCGUAUACGCCCGCAAGGGGAAAGAUUUAUCGGAGGAGGAUCGGCCCGCGUUGGAUUAGGUAGUUGGUGGGGUAACGGCCUACCAAGCCGACGAUCCAUAGCUGGUUUGAGAGGAUGAUCAGCCACACUGGGACUGAGACACGGCCCAGACUCCUACGGGAGGCAGCCGUGGGGAAUCCUGGACAACGGCGGCAACCCUGAUCCAGCCAUGCCGCGUGAUCGAUGAAGGCCUUAGGGUUGUAAAGAUCUUUCAGCUGGGAAGAUAAUGACGGUACCAGCAGAAGAAGCCCCGGCUAACUCCGUG